rnacentral:rRNA from 1 species
CUACGGGGGGCUGCAGUGGGGAAUAUUGCACAAUGGACGAAAGUCUGAUGCAGCAACGCCGCGUGGAGGAUGACACAUUUCGGUGCGUAAACUCCUUUUAUAUAAGAAGAUAAUGACGGUAUUAUAUGAAUAAGCACCGGCUAACUCCGUGCCAGCAGCCGCGGUAAUACGGAGGGUGCAAGCGUUACUCGGAAUCACUGGGCGUAAAGAGCGUGUAGGCGGAUAGAUAAGUUGGAAGUGAAAUCCUAUGGCUCAACCAUAGAACUGCUUCCAAAACUGUCUAUCUAGAAUAUGGGAGAGGUAGAUGGAAUUUCUGGUGUAGGGGUAAAAUCCGUAGAGAUCAGAGGGAAUACCGAUUGCGAAGGCGAUCUACUGGAACAUUAUUGACGCUGAGACGCGAAAGCGUGGGGAGCAAACAGGAUUAGAUACCCCCGUAGUC